GACGAACGCUGGCGGCGUGCUUAACACAUGCAAGUCGAACGGAAAGGCCCUGCUUUUGUGGGGUGCUCGAGUGGCGAACGGGUGAGUAACACGUGAGUAACCUGCCCUUGACUUUGGGAUAACUUCAGGAAACUGGGGCUAAUACCGGAUAGGAGCUCCUGCUGCCUGGUGGGGGUUGGAAAGUUUCGGCGGUUGGGGAUGGACUCGCGGCUUACCAGCUUGUUGGUGGGGUAGUGGCUUACCAAGGCUUUGACUGGUAGCCGGCCUGAGCGGGUGACCGGCCACAUUGGGACUGAGAUACGGCCCAGACUCCUACGGGAGGCAGCAGUGGGGAAUAUUGCACAAUGGGCGGAAGCCUGAUGCAGCAACGCCGCGUGCGGGAUGACGGCCUUCGGGUUGUAAACCGCUUUCGCCUGUGACGAAGCGUGAGUGACGGUAAUGGGUAAAGAAGCACCGGCUAACUACGUG
rnacentral:rRNA from 1 species